CGGCGUUACUCGGGCCUUUUUUUCUUGUCGGAUCAAAUUGUAUACAGAUUACUAAUAAGUGUUAAUACAAAAAUAUAGCCUUAUUACCCACGACUUUGUUUUUGGUUCACCACAAUGUUAUAUUGGUAUAUAAUAAAUGUAUUAUAAAUUAUUGCACAUAGCUUUAUUAAAUAUAUUUUAUUAUAAUUAUUGUAUCUAUUAAACAAAUGGUUUUUCAGUUUUCGGUGGUUGUUAUUUUCUCACGGUCCGUAUACAAACCAGUGUUGAGAAGAAGGUACCUAACGCGUUCCUUUUCAAAAUAUACAGGACGAGGAAUGGGAAAGAGUUCCUAUUGUACCUAUGGGGAACGUGUUCGGAAAUUUACGUUCCUCCUAAUAUAAAAACAAAAAUGAAAAGUACUUAUAAUUUAAAAAAAAUAAAAAUGAAAGGUACCUACCUACCUUACUUUAAUGGUGAUAUUGAUUUUAAAUUAUUUAGUAUUACUUCGGUUUUUGUGGAGUUGAUAGCCAAAGACUUGGAAAACUUGGAUCAACAAGAACUGAAGAUGCCAAUGAAAAGUUUGGAGAGAUCUCUUGGAAGCGGCAAAAAAGCCUUAACGGUUGUAGGUACAAAAAAAAAUAUAUAUAGAAUAUGCACACGACAUAUCCAGAAAGGUGAUUGUAAUAUUACCAAUAUUUUUCAAGAGGUCGGAACAUUAUACCUAUAGAGCUAGUAAAAUAUAUUAG